GAUGAACGCUAGCGGCAGGCUUAAUACAUGCAAGUCGUGGGGCAGCAGGGGUGUAGCAAUACAUCUGCUGGCGACCGGCAAACGGGUGCGUAACACGUACGCAACCUUCCCGUUACUGUGGCAUAGCCCAGGGAAACUUGGAUUAAUACCACAUAUUAUAUAGAGAGGGCAUCCUUUUUAUAUCAAAGCUUUCGGACGGUAACGGAUGGGCGUGCGGUUGAUUAGGUAGCUGGCGGGGUAACGGCCCACCAAGCCUACGAUCAAUAGCUGAUGUGAGAGCAUGAUCAGCCACACGGGCACUGAGACACGGGCCCGACUCCUACGGGAGGCAGCAGUAAGGAAUAUUGGGCAAUGGACGAAAGUCUGACCCAGCCAUGCCGCGUGAAGGAUUAAGGUCCUCUGGAUUGUAAACUUCUUUUCUCUGGGGCGAAAACCAGCUAUUCCUAGCUAUUUGACAGUACCAGAGGAAUAAGCACCGGCUAACUCCGUGCCAGCCGCCGCGGUAA
rnacentral:rRNA from 1 species